CUUGGCGACGGAGAUGUAGAAAUUCGCGUCGGUUUCUUGGAACGCUGGUCCAGACAAAGUCGCAGUUAGUGUAAUCGAAACCUAAUGGGUAAUAAACUUUGAUUAAGCUGACAUUUCACAAACUUAUCUCGUGGAAGGUGCUGCAGUUGACAGAAAGUGCUGUCACAGUGUCAGAUCGGCUGAGCCGGAAAUGCCCAAAGAGUCAUCUCCAGUUAUUAACAUUAGGCGAAUUAGGAAGCCAAAACGGCUGGAUUUUGAAGAGGUCGCAGAAUAAGAAGCCCAUUCAUUUUCUCACGACAUUAAAAAUGUAAUUUAAGGUAAAGAAACUAUCGGCUGUGCUGCUUUCAACUCAGCCCCGUGUAAAGUUUAUGGAACACAUUUAAAGUGAACAAGUGACUGAUAAAAAUCGACGUUUCAGUCAUGUGUUUGGUACCAGUCAAAGGUCUGGAAAUUCAGUUUUCAUAUUUUAAUAGAUUCUUCUUAACUUCUGGAUUCCGCUUACCUAAAUUUUAAAGAAUUUCUGAUUGGUGGGAAAAGCCAACUUUUUGUGCCCUGCUGAGAUGGACUUGAACUUUAAAAAGAUGUUAAAUAUUUUUGUUCUGGUUGUAUGUCACGAUGUCAGUUCCUCUCUCUUAAAUUUAAUAGGAAGAAACACAAUUUAGGUUUAGCAAAUGGGAAUCUUUUAAAAGAAAAUUUUAUGAAUGUAAAUGUAAUUGAAACAUAUGUUUAUUACACAAUACAUUGUCAGCAAUGAACAUAUGUAACGUACUGUACAUGUAACUAAAGUCAAAUACACAUGAAAGCCACACAUGCACUUCCUGUAAGAGCUGCAGAAGAGAUUUUCUCCAACAGGUGUGCUGGCACGCCGUCAGCUAUGACGAUGGCAGGGUUAAGGAGUUUCAAUCCAAAUUAAGUCCUUACAAAAGGAAGAUGCCAAACCCCGUAACCUGGUAACUGGAGACAAGUAGUUUUUUUUGUUGUUUGUUUUGUUUAAUUAAUUUCCUUCUGGGCAGUGGAGUUUUGCAUCCAUUCACCCAUGUCAUGUGCCUGUCAUUUGCUGUCUUUGCAGUUUUUCAGGUCAAGUGUAUUGCAAUAAAGGUGCAUAAAAGUCAUUGCGUUUGAUACCACAUUGGAUGAAAUCAAGACCACAGUUAGUACAAGAACAGUAACUUUAUUUUAAGUCAGUAAUACAAAAUUACCAUGGUCUACAAGAAAAAGAAAAAGUUACUUUUUGCAUUUUGACGUCAACAACUGCAAAAAAAAUAUUAGUGACUUAGUAGUUUACAACUGCUGCCUGUUCUUGAAACACAGGAACAUCUGCAAUGCUGACUGAUAUGAAAAAAGUGCUGAGCAUUCAUUUUCCAAUGGCUGAAGAGAGCGAUAGUUAAAACACCAAUGGCACCAACCAGAUGCUAAUACCAUCGACAAAUAUAAUUGUGAACUGAGACACCAAAUGAAGAGUAAGACAACGGAGUCUACAUCAACUGCAAACGACAUGACUGUGUAGUUGAUUUUUCCAGUUCAUCAGUCUUAUUUUGUUUAAAAAAACGUUUUAAUCAGGAUAUAAAUUUGAUAAGUUCAGAAACAAAUAAUUUGUAUAACUUCAAUUGCACCAUUCUUCUGUAAAAAUAUAUUUUAAAUUGUUUUCAAAGUUUUGCUGAAUGUCUGUUUUGUAAAUAAAGGGCUAAAUAAAUAUUUUUUAUUUGUGGAAAUAAAAAA